rnacentral:rRNA from 1 species
CAAUAGCGUAUAUUAAAGUUGUUGCAGUUAAAAAGCUCGUAGUUGGACUUCUGCGGGUGGCGGCCGGUCGUGCCCUUUUGUGGCGUGAACUUGGCUCUUUGCCGCCCGCAUCUUUGGGGAGAUUGUGCGUGGCAUUAGGUUGUCGUGCAUGGGAUUCUCAUCAUUUACUGUGAAAAAAUUAGAGUGUUUAAAGCAGGCCUUUGCCUUGAAUACAUUAGCAUGGAAUAAUAAGAUAGGACCGUUGUCUAUUUUGUUGGUUUACAGAUGUCGGUAAUGAUUAAUAGGGAUAGUUGGGGGUAUUCGUAUUCAGUUGUCAGAGGUGAAAUUCUUGGAUUUUCGGAAGACGCACGACUGCGAAAGCAUUUACCAAGGAUGUUUUCAUUAA